GUGUAUGUGUGAGUGGGACUGCGUCUGCAGGCUCCGCUCACUACUGAGGGAGCAGCGGGUGAGGACAUACUGCUCCUGGAUGUAAGAGCUCUUCUGGAUCCUCCUCCUCACAUCACUGGACCAGUCUUGCUCCGCACCUGGAGGCAACAAAUGCCAGCUGUUAACCACGAUGGGCGAACCUGACCAAAUGGUGCAAUAUCCAAUGAGGCGAUUGCCAGUGUAGAGCGGAGGGAUUUCAUUGGGUGAAAGAAGAGCCUCCAUGUUUUCUGGCAGCAGGUGACAAUGUUGCAGUACUGCUGACCUUGGGCUGGAGUCUCUCCUCGUCAUCCAGGAGCUCUGUAAUCCCUCCUGUUAAUUUGGCAACGCCCUGCAGGAGUCUCCUGCAGGCUCGAGGACCCAGGCCCACACCAAAGCAUCUGCAGAGCUCACCUUUACGCGAUGGAUGUUGGUGCCACUCAUGCUCCCGCUGCGAUCUACGAGGAACAGUAGCUCUCUGGUGGCUUUGUGCAGCUCCAGAGGUUCACACAGCAAGUCAGGACAGAAGUUGAGCAUCAAGACCGGGUUGCUCAGAAUGUCCUUGUGGUGCCGCUUCCUCACAAACUCCAGCUGCAGGUGGAACACAAGGAGACGAACACAGGACAGAGGAGGGACUGACCGUGUCUUUGUACAUGUCAAGACCAGAUCAUCACAGCAGUAGACAACAGCCUACAUUAAUACAACCAGGAAAAGGGAGUUGUGGUUGAUUUGUUCAGCUGAAUUCUUGUACUUGUACAAAAAGUCUCACCAGCUUUGAUUUUCCAAGCUGAAAGCUGAGUCAUUUCACACGUAUCUAGAGUACUGGGCAUUCAUUCCUGUUCAAAUACUCCUCAUCUGCUCUGGGUUCUGCAAAGUGCAAGUGUCUGGAGAACAGAGAACCAAUGACUAAUGUCUGCUAGCAUAAGUUAAUUAUGCUGAUUACUGCUCAAUAACUGUUAGACUUAUUUAUUAGUCAGUAAGCUGAGGGGAAAGGGGGCAGCCCAGAAAGCAAUUUGUUAUAUCAGUGCUCAACAUGAAUGCAUAGCUUAUGUCUUAAUUGUUCAAACUCAUUGAAAUCAUACUAGAUAAAUAUAUGGCCACCUCGUUACAAGAUUUUUCUGGCCUUCUCUGCAUUCCUCCGUCCUGUAUCCUCACCAUUGGUGCAUUGAAUGUCCUGACUGGAGUUCCCACAGCAGCCCCACUCCUGGCCAUUCCCACAGUGGCCUUCAAGACCGGAUCCAGGGCAGCAAUCCAAACAGCAGUCCUUCAGCUUCCCUCGGCUCUGUAUCUCCACACCCACCAGUCGGCCCGCGAUUGAAGCCUCGAAGCCCACCACAACCUCCUUUUCUCCAAGAGGACUCUAUGUCAGCGUUGGCAUAAGUAAGGUGAGCAGUGAUGCCCAGGGAGCAGCCGUUGGCACAAGACUUGAUGCAGGAGGCCUUGAGUAGCAGCGGUUCCCAUGUGGAGCAGUUUCUCAGUCCCACC